rnacentral:rRNA from 1 species
AACGAACGUUGGCGGCGUGGAUUAGGCAUGCAAGUCGAACGAAGACGGGGUAGCAAUAUCCCGGACUGAGUGGCGAAAGGGGCAGUAAAGCGUGGGUAACCUACCUCUGGGACGGGGAUAGCCUCUCUAACGGGAGGGUAAUACCCGGCGACGUAAUCGAGGGGCAUCUCUUGAUUACCAAAUGAGUUUCGCCCGGAGAGGGGCUCACGUGCUAUUAGCUUGUUGGUGAGGUAACGGCUCACCAAGGCUGAGAUGGCUAGCAGGUGUGAGAGCACGACCUGCGCCACUGGCACUGAGACACUGGCCAGACUCCUACGGGAGGCUGCAGUCGAGGAUCUUUGGCAAUGGGCGCAAGCCUGACCAAGCGACGCCGCGUGCGCGAUGAAGGCCUUCGGGUUGUAAAGCGCUGUCGAGGGGGAGGAAGCCGCAAGGUUGACCUAUCCCUGGAGGAAGGACGGGCUAAGUUCGUGCCAGCAGCCGCAGUAAAAC